rnacentral:rRNA from 1 species
GCACAAGCGGUGGAGUAUGUGGUUUAAUUCGACGCAACGCGCAGAACCUUACCUAGACUUGACAUCCCGGGGAUUUUCUGGAAACAGAGAAGUGCUUUAGCAAUAAAGAACCCGGUGACAGGUGCUGCAUGGCUGUCGUCAGCUCGUGUCGUGAGAUGUUGGGUUAAAGUCCCGCAACGAGCGCAACCCUCGCCUUUAGUUGCCAGCAUUCAGUUGGGCACUCUAGAGGGACUGCCGGUGUCAAACCGGAGGAAGGUGGGAUGACGUCAAGUCCUCAUGGCCUUUAUGUCUAGGGCUACACACGUACUACAAUGGCCGGUACAAAGGGCAGCCACUCAGCGAUGAGGCGCUAAUCCCAUAAAGCCGGUCUCAGUCCGGAUCGCAGUCUGCAACUCGACUGCGUGAAGUUGGAAUCGCUAGUAAUCGUAGAUCAGCAUGCUACGGUGAAUACGUUCCCGGGCCUU